CAGUCGCCACGGUAAUACGAAGGGGGCUAGCGUUGCUCGGAAUCACUGGGCGUAAAGGGUGCGUAGGCGGGUCUUUAAGUCAGGGGUGAAAUCCUGGAGCUCAACUCCAGAACUGCCUUUGAUACUGAAGAUCUUGAGUUCGGGAGAGGUGAGUGGAACUGCGAGUGUAGAGGUGAGAUUCGUAGAUAUUCGCAAGAACACCAGUGGCGAAGGCGGCUCACUGGCCCGAUACUGACGCUGAGGCACGAAAGCGUGGGGAGCAAACAGGAUUAGAUACCCCUGUAGUCCCUGUCUCUUAUAC
rnacentral:rRNA from 1 species